AGUAGUAAGUGUAGCACAACAAAAGAGUGCAUUUGUAUUUAUAGAUGCAGAGAACAAUCACUUUUUGUUUAUCUUCAUAUUAUAAGCGUAGAACAUGUCUAUUUAUACUACCAACACGUAUGUAAAUAUAUGUGUCUGUAUGCCUGCAAUAUAAUAUGGAAUCGAAUUACAGAAAGUAAAUGAUACAACGGUAAACGCGGAGGGAAUGUGACACCCUGUAUAUAACAUGAAAAUGGAUCAAGCACUUACCGAUGCAACACAGGUGACGGAUAGUAACACAGACUUCCAUUGCGCAUUUGUUUGCGCACUACAUAU
rnacentral:lncRNA from 1 species